CUUCACACAAGGAAUAAUAAGAGCCCAGGGAUAUUGCAUAAUCGGCGGAAAACGGCUUAUCAACAGAGUCAUCUACCGUUGUUUCAAGUGUCGAAAGCAGAGAGGGAAAUUACAAAAUCAGCAGAUUGCCGACCGAAGGAUUAACGCCAACUCCUCCGUUCACAUACGUGGGUUUAGACGUAUUCGGGCCGUGACAAAUUACAACUCGGAAAACCAG